UGUUAAAAAUUUUAACUAUUUUUAUUAUUAAAAAUUGGAGUAAUUAACGGAAUAAUUAAAUAGUUACACGCGGCAUGCCACAUGUACCUCAUAUUGACAUAUAGAGACUAUUUUUUAACCAUAAAAAUGAAUGAUAUUUUUAACA
rnacentral:pre_miRNA from 1 species